rnacentral:ncRNA from 2 species
UGUUUCGACUAGGGGUGUCUGCUAAUAGUGGGCUGAGAACAUUACCCUCAUACCUGAUCUGGAUCACGCCAGCGUAGGGAAGUCGCCUAAGUCGUAU